rnacentral:lncRNA from 1 species
UUGUAACAAACGUGCGUGAAACAAGUAAACAAGAUUUUAGUUACGUCACAGAUAACAUUAUAUAUAGGGAAAUUGUUUACCGUCGAUGUUAUCAACGUUUAGGCUUAUUACACCAGUACACGAAGCGACGAAAUAAUUAAUUGAGUUUGGUGCUAAAACAAGUGACCUUCUAUUGUUACGUGACAUCGAGGCGGAAGAGAUUUUCAAGCAAAUCUGUCCCGGUGAGGAGUUCCUGCCACGUGCCCCCGAUCCAGAGGAGAUCGUGUUUGAAGAUGACGUCACCCACGGCCCGGAGUUUCGGCGCGAGGAUGACGAUGCGGACGGUGACGCGCCCAAGGAGUAGUCGCGUGCCGCCCUCUAGCGAAACAAUUCCAACAGUGCGUUUGAACGUGCCACCCUAACCGUAUCCUACAAAUGACGGAGCUCUCAUUAUGUAACGUAGCUUUUGUUUACAUUGCACAAUAUCACAGUGUAAAGAAUCUAAAGCCCUUUGUACACGGGUAGAGCAAACAGUGUAGUCGCAUAGUAGAGUACUAACUGUACCAACAUAGACUUUUGGUAGAGUAUUAGAAUUUGGAAGAGUAAAGUAGCUAGAAUUAGGGGCAAGUCGCCACAUGACUUGUCUUCCACAUCCCAGUAUCCUGUCUACUUUACCGUUUUAAUUUGAAGAUACACUGUUUAUUCUAACAAAAUAUAAUAGUUUAGAAAAUUGUUCUAAUUAAAUUACAGUACUGGGUAUGGUUAAAGCUGUAAGUUAGUACACUUUACUGUUAUUUCUACCUACAUGCCCUUCCUUUUACAUUGGUUCCAUGCAACUGGCGAUAUGGGUUGAUCUUGGAGUGGGGGGCUGAGUAAAGCUGUUGUAGAUUACUGGACUGUGAUAUAGCAGUUUAGUACUCUAUUCAGAUUUCUAUUAUAUUUGUAAGAUACGAUUAUUUACACUGUGGCAACACUUGCAGAUGCUAUUAAUAUCGAGCGCGGACUUUACAUUUCUAGGUGUGGUGGCGUUAUAAUUACAGACACGGUCAAAACGUACUGCAUAGUUACUAAGGUGUAAUCUCAGUAAGAUUUAUACGCUUUGGUCGCUUGACUUCGUGCAUUCCGACUGGUGCGUGCGGUUGGUGCACGUUAUACGACGACUCCGGUUGUGCAAGACUCGUAGGGGUCAUCGAAAUUAUCGUCUGCUGAGUUUACUAUAUUAUGUUAGUAUAAUAAACAUAAUCUCAAUUUUUUUUAUAAUUGAUAAUAUCAUGAUUAAUAUAGUCUAAGUUUAGUAAACUUAGCAGGUCGAAUUGAUGUUGUGGUCGCCACAUGUGACGGAGGCUUCAAUAACUUAGCUUGGUUGUCUUGAUGAAAGUGAGCAAGAUAAACUCAUAGCCAAUGUUAGUAAAAGUAUGUAUUCAGUUGCAUUCAAAGAGAUAUGUUGAUUGAUCGAAAUUAUGUCUAUAAAAGAAAUUAUGUCUAAAAAUAUCACGAGGCAAGCCUACGAUUAUCACGGUUUAGGCAAGCUAAAAUGUUUUAUUAAUAUAUUUUUGUGAUUUAUUUAUUUAUUUAUCAAAAUGAGGUAUAGACUAUAAUAUGGACAAUUUGUGUCUGGCAUGCUCUCUAUCGAGCCUAUGGUGGCACAGUGUUUGAAGUGAAACCAAAGUAUUAUCACAGGUAUUACAAUCUAUUUUUCCUUACUUGUACUAUUAGGUAAACAAUUUUGAUCUUUUUGCGAGAAUAUCCAUAUAGAAGUGAGAUCUAAAAAUAAAUAUGUACUCAAAAUUAUAAUAACAUAAAAAUAAUAUUUAGCAUUCCCGAAUGCAGUAUUUGUUUUAAAAUAGUUUAAAGAAUGAACUACUAUAAUAUAAAGGAUAAUAAAUAUUUAACAAGAAUAUUAUAUUUUAGUAAUUUGUUAAUUUUAAAGCGUUCUGAUACGCCGAGAUUGAUUACCUAAUAAGUCCAGAUAAAUAAUACAUUCAAGUGUGUACGAGGCGCGUGCAAUGUUGGUAGGUAGGUACUUAUAGUUAGCUAGGAUGCAGUUUUGAAAUGUGUAGUACAUUUUGGACGCACCAGUCUAAGGCAUAGAUUGUAGCACUAUUAUUUUUACUAUUGUUUAACUUAGCACUUUUAAAUGAUAUUUAUUGUCAGAUGAUGAUUAUCAUGCCUGCGCAGCUUGUGCAUUUAUAAUUCCAAUAAAUUGUGAUUAUUA